rnacentral:piRNA from 1 species
UGCUGUCUCCCUCUGCUUUCAGCACAGC